rnacentral:rRNA from 1 species
AGUGAACGCUGGCGGUAGGCCUAACACAUGCAAGUCGAACGGCAGCACAGGAGAGCUUGCUCUCUGGGUGGCGAGUGGCGGACGGGUGAGGAAUACAUAGGAAUCUACCUUUUCGUGGGGGAUAACGUAGGGAAACUUACGCUAAUACCGCAUACGACCUACGGGUGAAAGUGGGGGACCGCAAGGCCUCACGCGAUUAGAUGAGCCGAUGUCCGAUUAGCUAGUUGGCGGGGUAAUGGCCCACCAAGGCGACGAUCGGUAGCUGGUCUGAGAGGAUGAUCAGCCACACUGGAACUGAGACACGGUCCAGACUCCUACGGGAGGCAGCAGUGGGGAAUAUUGGACAAUGGGCGCAAGCCUGAUCCAGCCAUACCGCGUGGGUGAAGAAGGCCUUCGGGUUGUAAAGCCCUUUUGUUGGGAAAGAAAUCCUGUCGAUUAAUACUCGGUGGGGAUGACGGUACCCAAAGAAUAAGCACCGGCUAACUUCGUG